GUGUGAGGGAGAUGAGGCCCCUGAAGGAGGGUCCUGGUGGGGCCCCCUCAGCCUGACAGACAGCAGCAGGCCCCCAGGGCUCACCUAGGACACCUGCAAACACCCUCCACCAUCCUGUCUCCACCCAACACACACUCAUGGGGGACCCUGCUCUGCCCCAGUCGGGCCAGGAGGAUGGGGACACAGAAGUGAGCAAACUCCAGUGGGGUUUCCGCCCCAGGCAGCCCAGAGUCCAGCUGGGAAGACAGAUGGUGACCACAUCAUGCAAGCUGGGCUGUGAGGGACUUAGGAGGGGGUGACCAGCCAGGAAAAUCUGGGAAGACCUACCUGCAGAGGUGAUAAUUGAACUGGGGGGUGGGGGGUUCAGGGAUGACGGAAUGGGGGGCUUGUGAGCCAGAAGAGAGGGGGUGAGACAAGGCCAAGAGUGUAGGCACAGGCAGAAUCCUCACCUCAUAGAAGGUUCUGGAAGGCUACAAGCUGGGGGUAUGGUUAGCCAGUCUGCUUUGGGGAAGACCACUCUGGCUGUCCCGUGGGGACUGAGGGCAGAGGGCUCUGACCAGCGCUAACCCAGGGGUCCUUCCCGGCAGGAGGCAGUGCCACCAUCCCCACCUGAACGCCCCUCUCAGGUCUGGGGCCCCUGGCUGCCUCCUGGAAGCUGGCUCCGGAGAGACCUCCCUCCUGCUGGCCUGUGUGCAGUGGGGGCAGGGCCCACAGGGGGAAGGCAGUCCCAGCAGGGGGGCUCCAAAUGGUGCCAGCUCUGCAGCCUCCGGAGCCCCCCAGCCUGCCCUGUCGUAAACCCAUCCCAGCUCCUCCUCCGCCUGCUCACUGACCUGCAACCAGGUGCAAAUUGAGCCCUGCCGAGGACAAAACGGCUUUGAUGAACCAAAUGAUGGAGAGACAGCGCUUGAAUCAGGGCAGACUUUGGACCUUGCAGGCCCCAGGAUAACCACUCUUUUGACGGCCCUGGGAUGGCGAGGAGAGGCCGAUGUCCAUGGGAGCCAGACUGCAUCAGUGCUGAUCAGAGGGACAGACCCACAGCCCUUCCCUCAAGCUCGGGGCAGGGCGGCCAACUCAAUGGGUCCUCAGAAGAGAGGGCCCGGCCUGGGGACCUCACAUGGAGCUCAGCCACGGACAGUUCCUCCGAAAUAUCCUUCCGCCCCAGUCUGGAAACCAGCCAACCUCUCCCAUGCUGCCUGGGCCUUGGCCAACCCCCUACCACCUGCCACCCCCGGCCAGACAUUGAAAACCACAAGAACACCACAGUGGCUGUGGGGAUCUGGAUUCAACUCAUAACUGGCUCUGAGGGGCCUGGGAGAGUAGAAUGAACUCCCGGGUGCUGGCCAGGGUCAGUAACCAGCUGGACACAUUCCCUGGCCAGGACUGAGGUGCCUAGAACCUGCUGCUGAGUCAUAGGAGUGAGAUAUUCCUGGGCCAAGCUACAAGGAAACUCCUUCUCCGGGGCUCCCUGUUUUGGCAGCCUGGUUAAUGAGUCACCUGCUGGUCACAUGCCUGGGGAACCCAGCUUGGGGGCUCCCUCACAUGCCAGGGUUACCUCAGUGCCAGAGAAGGUGGGCAGGGAGUUUUUUAUGUACUACUUGAAAAAUUGACUUCUUCAGAAAAGAACCAAGUAAAACGUAGCAAUCAUUUGUGUUUCCCACCCAGAUUUAACCACUUCUAACAAACUUACGCAGAGUCAGACACGAUUGAGUGACUGAACUGAACUGAACUGCACAGACUUAUUUACCUCUAGUCUUUUGAAAAAUGUAUUUACUUUCCAUCAAGCAUAAAAUGAGCAUAUUUAUUUCUUAUAAAGAAGAAAGAGCC
ensembl:lincRNA